CCAGACUCCUACGGGAGGCAGCAGUGAGGAAUAUUGGUCAAUGGCCGAGAGGCUGAACCAGCCAAGUCGCGUGAGGGAAGACGGCCCUACGGAUUGUAAACCUCUUUUGUCGGGGAGCAAAGCGAGUCACGUGUGACUCAUUGAGAGUACCCGAAGAAAAAGCAUCGGCUAACUCCGUGCCAGCAGCCGCGGUAAUACGGAGGAUGCGAGCGUUAUCCGGAUUUAUUGGGUUUAAAGGGUGCGCAGGCGGAUUUUUAAGUCAGGGGUCAAAUCGUGGGGCUCAACCCCGACAAGCCGUUGAAACUGGCUUGCUAGAGUGGGCGAGAAGUAUGCGGAAUGCGUGGUGUAGCGGUGAAAUGCAUAGAUAUCACGCAGAACUCCGAUUGCGAAGGCAGCAUACCGGCGCCCAACUGACGCUCAGGCACGAAAGCGUGGGUAUCGAACAGGAUUAGAUACCCCCGUAA
rnacentral:rRNA from 1 species